UGCGUUCAAAUUGGGCUUUUCUGCAAGUGGACUAUAAUAAACAAAGCUAAAUGGGUGACAAUCAUUUGAAAGAAAUGACAGGUUUCCCAGUAUCUCCACUUCGGCUUGAGAAUCAUCCAAAUUAUAUUUAGUACACUGUAUAAUUAAGAAGUGGAAAACAGGUGUUAAUUUAGUCAUUACAAAGAAAACCCCACUUUUGAUUUAUUUAGAAAAUCAACAUGAAAAAUAUUUUUAAUCUCUUUCUAUUGGUUUUUAUAAUAGCAUAAAUGCAUAUUUCAAGUAGGGUAAAUGUUACAUUUGAUCAAUAUUCAAAAUAAUAAAAAGUAGCAUUUACCUUUAGACGGAUAGUGUGGCACUCAGGUUUCAGUAGUUUAUUCUUCUUAUUAAUCUUUCAGAGAUAAAUCUCAGCUGAUUAUUAUACAUCGGAUUUUUCAAGUCUCAUCUAAUUUAGCUAAUACUUAUUUCUGCCAGUAGAUGGCAGUAGUGUUUUAGCUGUGAGCUUGACUUACUGGCGUCCUCGGCAUUUUACGGCAGCAGCGGUGAAGCCCUGUCGCACCCCCACCCCCUUUCCGCCCUUGUGUUCUUCAAAUGCGCACAGGAAUUGAUACUUAUUUUUAAUUUCUUCUGCAGAAAGUCAUUACUGGAAAACCUCGUAUAUAAUUAUGAAAUUAACAUCUUAAUUUUUUUUGUGGAAGUGGAAUAGAAACCAAUUCGAUUCUUAUUUUCUUUAGAGAUAUCAUGAUUUUUUAAAAAAAUAUAUAUUUUCCUCUCAGACUUUAAAGUAAUUUGUUUUCUUGCAGUUGUACUUUUUAGCAGCACAAAUGCGGAAACACUGAUCAGUCCCGCCAUUUUGGAUAUCUAAGCUACAACACUAGGGGCGUACUGUCCCAAUUCUCACAUUUUUGCUGCUUCUAACCCUGCGCACUCGAUCCCUUAUGUGCACUUCGACUGAAUCCACACUUCACAGAGGGGCGUAGGGUGCGCACUGAGCACUGGGACUAAGUUUAAAAUUUAGGAGCUCAGUCAGAAAUGUGUCUGUGUACUGUUGACUUUCUAAAGCUCUCCUUUGCAUUACAGCACAGAGAGCACCAGCAACCAAUUAUUUUGUGCUGGACCAGGCGAGGACAGGGAGCCAGGAGGGAAAUCACAUAGUUCUGACAGAAACUUCUUCAGAGCCUUUUUAUCCUCCUGCCUGACUCAUCCUCUGGCAACCGCUGGUGCUUGGAGAAGAAGGCCACUGUUUCACUUUCAAACACGCACUCCGCCACUGUGAUGUCAGACUGAUUUGCGAAAAACGGCUCUGGCUGAGCAACCGGUUGACUUUGAGCAAAAGAUAUUGUGUGAGAGAAAAAGGGAAAACUCAAAGCAGCAGACGGAAACCAAGAAGGAAAAGGCAGAAAAAGCGAUGUAGAGAUCUAACUAUGAAACUAACAGUUAGCUAGACUAUCAAAUGUAGGAGAAAGUACUCCUGGUCAAGAUCUAUAUGUUCUUCUGGGCAACUGACUAACCUAUUCACUAUUUAAACUCUAUUUAUGUAUUUAUAUUUACCAUAGAAACUGCUCCUUGUCCACUAAUUCUUUGUCUCUUUUCUCUCUCUCAUUAACAAUUAUUUCUCAUAGCCUUUUUAUGUUGAUUUGCCACAGAAAGUGCUCCAGGCUCUGGGAUUUGUUUUUAGCAAACAGAACCUUUAAAUGAUAGACUUAAAACUAUGAAGACUGUUUUUGUUUACUAUUGAAGUAUUUUUUGUUCUGUUUUUCUUUGUUUUGUUGUUCUUGAGCUAUUGAUUAAGCUUUUCUGUCACUAAUUUCAUACACUCUCUAUUCCCCUAAUAGAAAGUACUACCAGCUGAGUUCUUCUAUAUUUAUCUUUGUGCGUUUCCUGGAUGGAAACAUUGCCAACACUGACUUUGUGCACUUUUUAAUUUUUUGUUCUUUCCACACAGAAAGUUCUUUUGAGCCAUUGUGUUUGUGUUUACAUAACUUUUUUUUUUCUGGUGAAAACAUUAGAACUUUUCUUGCCAUUAAACUAUUUCCAUAGA